rnacentral:rRNA from 1 species
AACGUAGGAGGCAAGCGUUAUCCGGAGUUACUGGGCGUAAAGCGUGCGUAGGCGGGUUGGUAAGUGGGUGGUGAAAGCGCUCGGCUAAACCGGGCGAGUGCCAUCCAGACUGCCAGUCUAGAGGCGGAUAGAGGGGUGGCGGAAUUCCGGGUGUAGCGGUGAAAUGUGUAGAGAUCCGGAGGAACACCAGUGGUGCAAACGGCGCCCUGGGUCCGAACUGACGCUGAUGCACGAAAGCCAGGGGAGCAAACGGG